rnacentral:rRNA from 1 species
CCUACGGGAGGCAGCAGUAGGGAAUCUUCCACAAUGGACGAAAGUCUGAUGGAGCAACGCCGCGUGAGUGAUGAAGGGUUUCGGCUCGUAAAACUCUGUUGUUGGAGAAGAACGGGUGUCAGAGUAACUGUUGACAUCGUGACGGUAUCCAACCAGAAAGCCACGGCUAACUACGUGCCAGCAGCCGCGGUAAUACGUAGGUGGCAAGCGUUGUCCGGAUUUAUUGGGCGUAAAGCGAGCGCAGGCGGUUUUUUAGGUCUGAUGUGAAAGCCUUCGGCUUAACCGGAGAAGUGCAUCGGAAACCGGGAGACUUGAGUGCAGAAGAGGACAGUGGAACUCCAUGUGUAGCGGUGAAAUGCGUAGAUAUAUGGAAGAACACCAGUGGCGAAGGCGGCUGUCUGGUCUGCAACUGACGCUGAGGCUCGAAAGCAUGGGUAGCGAACAGGAUUAGAUACCCUGGUAGUCCAUGCCGUAAACGAUGAGUGCUAAGUGUUGGAGGGUUUCCGCCCUUCAGUGCUGCAGCUAACGCAUUAAGCACUCCGCCUGGGGAGUACGGCCGCAAGGUUGAAACUCAAAGGAAUUGACGG